GCCCGCAUGGCUCAGUGGUAGAGCGCAUCACUAGUAACCUUCUAAAGAAUCUAUGAUGAGGUCGUCAGUUCGAUUCUGGCUGUGGGCA